AAAGUACUCCCUCCGUCCCAAAAUUCUUGUCUUAGAUUUGUCUAGAUACGGAUGUAUCAUGUCACAUUUAUUAUUAGAUACAUCCGUAUCUAGACAAAUCUAAGACAAGAAAUUUGGGACAGAGGGAGUAGUUG
rfam:Triticum aestivum genome assembly, contig: Triticum_aestivum_CS42_TGACv1_scaffold_513782_6BS